UUCUGGGAGUAAAAAAAAAAUCUUUGCUUCAGUCCAAGUUCACCUUCUGUUGACUGCUUGCUCUAGCUUAUGAUAGAUUAAUAGAAAUAAUACAUUAUGCACUGCAAAUUAAACUUAAUAAAUAAUUAUAUAUUAAUCACGUAUAAAUCAUUAGUUACUAAACAUAGCAGAAAUGUACUGUAUAUAUGCAAAUAUGUUUCUACAAGAGUUUGUUAAAGGAGAAUUUAUUAUUAAGAAACAUACAUUUUAGACACAAUAUUACUGUUUAUGUUUGCACCACUAAUAAAAAUAUAUCCAAAUGCUGCUGCAAAAAGAAUCAGUGUUUUUAAUGAUUCAAUAAUUCGAAAGUCUUAAUAAACAAAGCAUUCUGACAAACCAUUAAGCAGGUGGCGUUAUUUAUUUAUUUAUCGGAAAUAAUGUUCAUAUUAAAAUGUGUAUUUAAUUCCCCCAUAAAUAUGUGCUCUGAGACUUUAAUAUGGGAUAUUAUUGCAUAGAAAACCCUUUAAAUAAAUUGUAUAUUGCAUACCACAUUGAUAAGUUCGUGCUGUGUAUCAAAGCCUGUAUGUCCUGUCCGUUUUGAUACAGCCAGCAUGUUACCCAGCUUUGUCUGAUAAAGUUAAAUAAAGUCCCUGUUCUUCCAUUUCUCAGGACACACAACAUGCUCCCGCAGCUCUCAGAGAUGCCUCUGUUGUACUGAUGUGUAUGGAGGCCAAAUCCAAUGUCUGGGCUCUGCAGGGUAUCAGAGGCUUCCUCCAGUCUUUGUGGAAUCAUCCCUUUGCAAGAGCAGGCAUUUUCCAUUGGGUUAAGCUAGAAUCCUGUUCUCUCUCGCUUCAAAGUGUUUUCUUGAAAGUGCUGGACACAUGUUGUGGUUCCAGUGCUGAGAAGGAAACAUGUUCACUGUAAGGCAAGACACUCUGAAUAAAGGAUUUAAAGAAUUCACCUGUACAUGUAACACACCAUAAUAUAAUCAAUAAAAUGGUCUCAUCACGGUUUGCCAAUUAAAUAUCCAGUCAGAAAGAGACCACAGCAGAUCAGUGCAAAAAAAUUGUUCAAGCAAGUGACAGAAAAAGAAGAAUGAUACAAAAACAGUUCAUACACUGACCAAAAUACUAAUAUUACAAAAUGAAACACAAAACAGUUAAUUUGUAAGAAUCAAACUGUUUCAGUAAAGCAGAAUACGAGCAGGUAAAUUGGCUUUUACAUGAGAGAAAAGUGUUCAGGAUUUCCUAAUAGGUAAGUGUGCCUUACAGAUCGAUUGGACUAAAUAUUCGUAGACAGUCGACAGCUCAACACACGCCAUCGGCUGUGUGCAAGAAGGUGAAACAGACUCUAACAAUACACAACACAGUGGGUGAACUAGCAGAUAGAAACAGUAGUAGAUGAAACUGGUUUAAGUAGACGUAAAUACGGGGAUAUGAAAAAACAGCUAGCGCUUCUCAGACCGCACCUAAAAUACAAAUAUAAGAAAACAGAAAAAGACAUUUUAUUUUAAUAAUAGUCCCCCAUCCCCUUUAAAACCCACACAACAAACUCUUUUCCUCCUAGAUGAAACUCAUAAACUUCAGCAGACUUUAUGGUAAACUAAUAACGCUCUCCUAAUGGUGAACACAUCUUUAGACCGUGACGUACAGCUUAAGGGUGGAAAGGCUAGAGGUGGACAACUCACCAGGAGAAGGAAGCUAUAUCGGACCACGGAGUAUGAGAAGUUUUGAGAAGUCGCGCGCAAUGCUAAAAUAGGCACCUUUUAAAACCGCGAAGACCAAAGCGCUCCAAUUAAAACUCUAAAAUCUCCAAAUCUUUACAUUUGGUUAGUAUGGAAUGAGCUUCAGUGGAAGCAUUUCUUAAAAAAUGAUCCGCUUGUGUUCCACAGAAAGGAUUGUACCUUUUGGGUUUGUAAUGACACGAAGGUGGGCAAAUAAUGACUGAAUGUUUAUUUUUAGGAGAGCCAUUCUUGGGAAUUGUGCUCUAAAGCGAACUGUACAAAGUAUAGCAAGCAGGGCAUAGAGAGAUUGCACUCAAUCAGUUAGAUUCAUAAAGCCAGUACCGAAGGUCAUUUGUUAUGAGUAUAAUGUAUUCAAUGUAAUCAGCUCCAAUUACAGGCCUCCCGGUGGAUAUGCACAGAAAGCCGUCUAGUCCCUCCCCUGACGACAGGCCUCCUGCUGUCAGCACAUUGCCUAACCUGAAAAAAGGAGCGUUUUACUGACAGAAACCACAGGGUACUUUACUAAAUGAUGGCAGGGGGUCAAUCAGACAGUGAGUCCAUCCUUCCUCUCCAAUAAUGGACUAUCAGACUGCCUGACCGCCGCAGCUGUAAUGGGGCGAGCAUACAGAGCGAUAAUUUAUGGAGUCGUAGUUGCGGCUGGAGAUGUGAUUUUCUUAGUGCAACGGUAGAGUGCAUUCAAAGUGAUGUUUUGCAUGCUGAGGCGGACCCGAUGACCUCAUUAAAACCUGUCAGAGACAGAUCUGAUGGAGGAAGGUUACCGUGGAUACGGUGACGCAGUCUGCCUCAAAAGGCCCUGUGAUUACCGAGUGAAAUAUAGCCGAGCACCCUUCCCAUUCUUCUCCUACAAAGGCACAAAAUGAAAAUCUGUGGAGAAAAAAGGGGGUGAAUCUGUGAUUAAGGAGAAUUUCUCUCUCAAAGAUGGCCAUCCAAGAUAUACAGUAGAUAACACUGUUUCUUCAUCAGAACAUGGAGAACAUUUGGAGAAGUCAUCGUUACGUCACUUCAGUCGAUCCUCUACAGUGAAUGGGUGCCAUCAGAAUGAGAAUCCAAACAGUUGAUGAAUACAUUACAGUUUAGUGCUCCUCCCACAUGCUACUUCUAGUAAAGCGUUACGAGGUUUGACAUCGACAGUGGAAUUCUUCGGUAUUUAAAAUGCAAAGACUUGCUUAAUCAGAUAAAGUCAUUCCCCCUGAUAACAUCACAUCUGGAGGAGUCCUGACUGCACUGCCAGCCGACACUGAAUUGUGAGGCCAGCCAGCAAAAAUGAGCCUCUAGAUUUGAUCUCAUACACACCCAGCCUUUGAAGAGAUUAUGGUAAGUAGAAUGUAGUAAUACGUUCAACACAAUGCAAAUCACAAUGCCUGGUGCUGGGUAUUACAUGUGCACUGUGUAAUAUUCAUUAAUCUGAAAUCGGAUGUUCU